rnacentral:tRNA from 2 species
CAAAAAGUAGCUUAAUCCAAAGCGUUCGCCCUACAAUUGAAAAAUGUUGACGAGCCAACCUUUUUGA